rnacentral:rRNA from 1 species
UACGUAGGUGACCAGCGUUGUCCGGAUUUACUGGGCGUAAAGAGCGCGCAGGCGGUCGUUCAAGUCGAGUGUGAAAGCCCCCGGCUCAACUGGGGAGGGUCAUUCGAUACUGAUCGACUGGAAGGCAGGAGAGGGAAGCGGAAUUCCCGGUGUAGUGGUGAAAUGCGUAGAUAUCGGGAGGAACACCGGUGGCGAAGGCGGUUCUCUAGGCCUUACCUGACGCUGAGGAGCGAAAGCGUGGGGAGCGAACAGG